UACGUAGGGUGCGAGCGUUAAUCGAAAUUACUGGGCGUAAAGCGUGCGCAGGCGGUCUGUUAAGACCGAUGUGAAAUCCCCGGGCUUAACCUGGGGACUGCAUUGGUGACUGGCAGGCUUUGAGUGUGGCAGAGGGAGGUAGAAUUCCACGUGUAGCAGUGAAAUGCGUAGAGAUGUGGAGGAAUACCGAUGGCGAAGGCAGCCUCCUGGGCCAACACUGACGCUCAUGCACGAAAGCGUGGGGAGCAAACAGG
rnacentral:rRNA from 1 species